ACGAACGCUGGCGGCGUGCUUAACACAUGCAAGUCGAGCGGUAAGGCCUUUCGGGGUACACGAGCGGCGAACGGGUGAGUAACACGUGGGUGAUCUGCCCUGCACUUCGGGAUAAGCCUGGGAAACUGGGUCUAAUACCGGAUAUGACCUCCUAUCGCAUGGUGGGUGGUGGAAAGAUUUAUCGGUGCAGGAUGGGCCCGCGGCCUAUCAGCUUGUUGGUGGGGUAAUGGCCUACCAAGGCGACGACGGGUAGCCGACCUGAGAGGGUGACCGGCCACACUGGGACUGAGACACGGCCCAGACUCCUACGGGAGGCAGCAGUGGGGAAUAUUGCACAAUGGGCGAAAGCCUGAUGCAGCGACGCCGCGUGAGGGAUGACGGCCUUCGGGUUGUAAACCUCUUUCAGCAGGGACGAAGCGCAAGUGACGGUACCUGCAGAAGAGGCACCGGCUAACUACGUG
rnacentral:rRNA from 1 species